rnacentral:rRNA from 1 species
GAAUCCUGACACAGGGAGGUAGUGACAAGAAAUAACAAUACAGGGCUACUUCUAGUCUUGUAAUUGGAAUGAGUACAACUUACAUCUCUUCACGAGGAUCAAUUGGAGGGCAAGUCUGGUGCCAGCAGCCGCGGUAAUUCCAGCUCCAAUAGCGUAUAUUAAAGUUGUUGCAGUUAAAAAGCUCGUAGUCGGAUUUCGGGGCGGGCCGAGCGGUCUGCCGAUGGGUAUGCACUGUUCGGCGCGUCCUUCUUUCCGGAGACUAGUUCUACUCUUAACUGAGCGGGACUGGGAGACGGAUCGUUUACUUUGAAAAAAUCAGAGUGUUUCAAGCAGGCAGCUCGCUCUUGCAUGGAUUAGCAUGGGAUAAUGAAAUAGGACUCUGGUGCUAUUUUGUUGGUUUCGAACACCGGAGUAAUGAUUAACAGGGACAGUCAG